ACAGAGGGUGCUAGCGUUGUUCGGAAUUAUUGGGCGUAAAGCGCGUGUAGGCGGCCUUGCAAGUUGGGUGUGAAAGCCCUCGGCUUAACCGAGGAAGUGCGCCCAAAACUACAGGGCUUGAGUGCCGGAGAGGGUGGCGGAAUUCCCGGUGUAGAGGUGAAAUUCGUAGAUAUCGGGAGGAACACCAGCGGCGAAGGCGGCCGCCUGGACGGCAACUGACGCUGAGACGCGAAAGCGUGGGUAGCAAACAG
rnacentral:rRNA from 1 species